rnacentral:rRNA from 1 species
GAUCCUGGCUCAGGACGAACGCUGGCGGCGUGCCUAAUACAUGCAAGUAGAACGCUGAAGGAGGAGCUUGCUCUUCUGGAUGAGUUGCGAACGGGUGAGUAACGCGUAGGUAACCUGCCUGGUAGUGGGGGAUAACUAUUGGAAACGAUAGCUAAUACCGCAUAAUAGCAGUUGUUGCAUGACAGCUGUUUGAAAGGUGCAAUUGCACCACUACCAGAUGGACCUGUG